rnacentral:rRNA from 1 species
CUUGAACGCUGGCGGCAUGCUUUACACAUGCAAGUCGAACGGUAACAGGUUAAGCUGACGAGUGGCGAACGGGUGAGUAAUGCAUCGGAACGUGCCCGGUCGUGGGGGAUAACGCAGCGAAAGCUGCGCUAAUACCGCAUACGAUCUGAGGAUGAAAGCGGGGGACCGUAAGGCCUCGCGCGAUCGGAGCGGCCGAUGUCAGAUUAGGUAGUUGGUGGGGUAAAGGCCCACCAAGCCGACGAUCUGUAGCUGGUCUGAGAGGACGACCAGCCACACUGGGACUGAGACACGGCCCAGACUCCUACGGGAGGCAGCAGUGGGGAAUUUUGGACAAUGGGCGAAAGCCUGAUCCAGCAAUGCCGCGUGCAGGAAGAAGGCCUUCGGGUUGUAAACUGCUUUUGUACGGAACGAAACGGUCUGGGUUAAUACCCUGGGCUAAUGACGGUACCGUAAGAAUAAGCACCGGCUAACUACGUGCCAGCCGCCGCCGUAAGAC